rnacentral:rRNA from 1 species
GAUUAACGCUGGGGGCAUGCUUUACACAUGCAAGUCGAACGGUAACAGGCCGCAAGGUGCUGACGAGUGGCGAACGGGUGAGUAAUGCAUCGGAACGUGCCCAGUCGUGGGGGAUAACGCAGCGAAAGCUGUGCUAAUACCGCAUACGAUCUAUGGAUGAAAGCGGGGGACCGUAAGGCCUCGCGCGAUUGGAGCGGCCGAUGUCAGAUUAGGUAGUUGGUGGGGUAAAGGCUCACCAAGCCAACGAUCUGUGGCUGGUCUGAGAGGACGACCAGCCAGACUGGGACUGAGACACGGCCCAGGCGCCUACGGGAGGCAGCAGUGGGGAAUUUUGGACAAUGGGCGCAAGCCUGAUCCAGCAAUGCCGCGUGCAGGAAGAAGGCCUUCGGGUUGUAAACUGCUUUUGUACGGAACGAAAAGGUUUGGGUUAAUACCCUGGGCCGAUGACGGUACCGUAAGAAUAAGCACCGGCUAACUACGUGCCAGCAGCCGCCGUAA